rnacentral:rRNA from 1 species
GACGAACGCUGGCGGCGUGCUUAACACAUGCAAGUCGAACGGAAAGGCCCCUUUGGGGGUACUCGAGUGGCGAACGGGUGAGUAACACGUGAGUAACCUGCCCUUGACUUCGGGAUAAAUUCAGGAAACUGGGGCUAAUACCGGCUAGGAAUCCUUGCUGCAUGGAUGGGGUUGGAAAGCUUCGGGGGUUUUGGAUGGACUCGCGGCUUAUCAGCUUGUUGGUGGGGUAGUGGCUUACCAAGGGUUUGACGGGUAGCCGGCCUGGGAGGGUGACCGGCCACAAUUGGACUGGGAUACGGCCCAGACUCCUACGGGGGGCAGCAGUGGGGAAUAUUGCACAAUGGGCGGAAGCCUGAUGCAGCAACGCCGCGGGCGGGAUGACGGCCUUCGGGUUGUAAACCGCUUUCAGCAGGGGCGAAGCUUGUGGUGACGGUACCUGCAGAAGAAGCACCGGCUAACUACGUG